AGAGUUUGAUCAUGGCUCAGAUUGAACGCUGGCGGCACGCUUAACACAUGCAAGUCGAACGGUAACAGGUUAAUUAUUACUUCGGUAUUAAUUGAUGCUGACGAGUGGCGGACGGGUGAGUAAAGUGUAGGGACAUGUCCUGAAGAGGGGGAUAACCCGAGGAAACUCGGGCUAAUACCGCGUACAACUCUACGGAGGAAAGUUGAGAUGCAGAGAUGCAUAAUGACGCUUUAGGAGUGACCUACAUUAGAUUAGCUAGUUGGUAAGGUAACUGCUUACCAAGGCGAUGAUCUAUAGCUGGUUUGAGAGGACGAACAGCCACACUGGGACUGAGACACGGCCCAGACUCUUACGGGAGGCAGCAGUGGGGAAUAUUGGACAAUGGGGGCAACCCUGAUCCAGCGAUGCCGCGUGUGUGAAGAAGGCCUGAGGGUUGUAAAGCACUUUAGUUAUGGAGGAAGGUUGUAUGAGAGAUCAUAUAAUUUGACGUUACAUAAAGAAUAAGCACCGGCUAACUCUGUGCCAGCAGCCGCGGUAAUACAGAGGGUGCAAGCGUUAAUCGGACUGACUGGGCGUAAAGGGCACGUAGGCGGAUAUAUAAGUGAGUAGUGAAAUACCCGGGCUCAACCUGGGGAUUGCUAAUCAGACUGUAUAUCUAGAGUACAAGAGAGGGGAGUGGAAUUUCCGGAGUAGCGGUGAAAUGCGUAGAUAUCGGAAGGAACAUCAGUGGCGAAGGCGACUCUCUGGCUUGAGACUGACGCUAAGGUGCGAAAGCGUAGGUAGCGAACAGGAUUAGAUACCCUGGUAGUCCACGCUGUAAACGAUGAAUACUAGCUGUUGGUGUGCGAUGACACAUAAGUAGCGAAGCGAACGCGUUAAGUAUUCCGCCUGGGGAUUACGGUCGCAAGACUAAAACUCAAAGGAAUUGACGGGGGCCCGCACAAGCGGUGGAGCAUGUGGUUUAAUUCGAUGCAACGCGAAAAACCUUACCUACCUUUGACAUCUAUGGAGUUCUGUAGAGAUAUGGGAGUGCCCGAAAGGGAACCAUAAGACAGGUGCUGCAUGGCUGUCGUCAGCUCGUGUCGUGAGAUGUUGGGUUAAGUCCUGAAACGAGCGCAACCCCUAUUGUUAGUUACCAAAUUACGUAAGUAGAGGAACACUAAUGAGACUGCCGGUGAUAAACCGGAGGAAGGUGGGGACGACGUCAAGUCAUCAUGGCCUUUAUAGGUAGGGCUACACACGUGCUACAAUGGGUAUUACAGAGGGAGGCGAACCCGCGAGGGGGAGCGGAACUCAGAAAGGUACUCGUAGUCCGGAUUGGAGUCUGCAAUUCGACUCUAUGAAGUUGGAAUCGCUAGUAAUCGCGAAUCAUCAUGUCGCGGUGAAUACGUUCUCGGGCCUUGUACACACCGCCCGUCACACCAUGGAAGUGGGUUGUACCAGAAGCAAGUGGAUUAACCUUAAUAGGGGAUUGCUUACCACGGUAUGAUUCAUGACUGGGGUGAAGUCGUAACAAGGUA
rnacentral:rRNA from 1 species